CAAAGUGGAGCUCAGGCAGUCCUGGCGCCACUAGAAUGCUCUCUUCAUUGCUCCUACCUCGUGACACCCCUCCCCCCCCAGCUCUUCACCAGGUAUACCACUGGGGACACACCUUGUCGGACAAGAUUACUGUAAUCACAACCACAGCAAGCCCUGCUCUUUAGCUAGAAUACAGUGACUUCUAUACUAGGGGCCAGAAGGAUAUGAAGAAUGCUACAAGUGCAGAAGAGGCACUCAAGAGGAAAAAGGGAAGGAAAAAAUGCAACACAGACUGAGUUCUGGGAUAGGAGAAUUUGAGUUAAUUUCUAUUUAGAGUUAUUCUCUAGAACAAGAUGAAAAUCUGCCCCUACCAGACUGCUGGGCUGCAGCAAGGAAAACCUGAGUCCCCAAACAAAGUGAAAGAACUUCAGCUAGUUAUGGAAAAGCUUAUGCUUUGGUGGUGAAAUGACAAAUAUGAUUUUUUUCUCCAUAGGAUUUUCACUCUUGACAGCUGAGAGUUAAUGUGACAGCAGAAAAGUCUAGGGAGAUUUCUGAAGAGGUUAGGAGGUCCAAGAGACAGUCACACCCUGCUUUAUAAGACCAAGGAAAAAUUCUAUUAAGCUUUCAAAUGAACCCUACUCCUUUAGCCAA